rnacentral:rRNA from 1 species
GUGCCAGCAGCCGCGGUAAUACGUAGGGUGCGAGCGUUAAUCGGAAUUACUGGGCGUAAAGCGCGCGCAGGCGGUUUCUUAAGUCUGAUGUGAAAGCCCACGGCUCAACCGUGGAGGGUCAUUGGAAACUGGGGAACUUGAGUGCAGAAGAGAAAAGCGGAAUUCCACGUGUAGCGGUGAAAUGCGUAGAGAUGUGGAGGAACACCAGUGGCGAAGGCGGCUUUUUGGUCUGUAACUGACGCUGAGGCGCGAAAGCGUGGGGAGCAAACAGGAUUAGAUACCCAGGUAGUCCACGCCGUAAACGAUGAGUGCUAAGUGUUAGAGGGUUUCCGCCCUUUAGUGCUGCAGCUAACGCAUUAAGCACUCCGCCUGGGGAGUACGGUCGCAAGACUGAAACUCAAAGAAAUUGACGGGA